UACGGGGGGGGCAAGCGUUGUUCGGAAUUAUUGGGCGUAAAGAGCUCGUAGGCGGUUCGUCGCGUCGGCUGUGAAAACCCGGAGCUCAACUCCGGGCCUGCAGUCGAUACGGGCGGACUUGAGUGUUGCAGGGGAGACUGGAAUUCCUGGUGUAGCGGUGAAAUGCGCAGAUAUCAGGAGGAACACCGGUGGCGAAGGCGGGUCUCUGGGCAACUACUGACGCUGAGGAGCGAAAGCGUGGGGAGCGAACAGG
rnacentral:rRNA from 1 species